rnacentral:rRNA from 1 species
UUAAAUAUAUAUACCACCCUGAACACGCCCGAUCUCGUAAGCUAAACAGGGUUGGGACUGGUUAGUACUUGGAUGGGAAACCGCCUGGGAAUACUGGGUGCUGUAGG